GAUGAACGCUAGCGGCAGGCUUAACACAUGCAAGUCGAACGAGAACGGAUUAAAGCUUGCUUUAAUUGUCAGCUAAGUGGCGCACGGGUGAGUAAUAUAUAGGUAACGUGCCCUAGAGAGGGGGAUAACAUUUGGAAACGAAUGCUAAUACCCCAUAUGCCUUUAAGUCUUAAGACUGCAAGGGAAAUAUUUAUAGCUCUAGGAUCGGCCUGUACGGUAUCAGUUUGUUGGUGAGGUAAUGGCUCACCAAGACUAUGACGCCUAACUGGUUUGAGAGGAUGAUCAGUCACACUGGAACUGAGACACGGUCCAG
rnacentral:rRNA from 1 species